rnacentral:tRNA from 1 species
UCGUUCAGCGCUUCGCUGGCGGUGAAGUCGCUGGCCAGCGCCCAGCGGUCGGGGCGUUCCAGGCGCCGCUGGGUGAU